rnacentral:hammerhead_ribozyme from 1 species
AUCUGACUAACGAGUCCCAAAUAGGACGAAAUAUGAGUCCUGGAU